AAUAACCUUAUUUUUUGUUUUUCCGUGUCCAACGUUUGACCAUUCGUCUUAUUUGAAUUUUUUUUAUAAAUAAUAUUUUUAUUGUUAUUGGAUGAUAAAAUAUGAAUAGUAUUUUAUACGUGGCUAAUUUUUUUAAGUUUUUGCAUAAAAUUUUCAAAUAAGAUGAAUGGUCAAACAUUGGACACGGAAAAACA
rfam:Oryza brachyantha chromosome 5, whole genome shotgun sequence.